GUCCAGGGUAGCCUAGUGGACAUGGCAUCUGCCCGGUAAGCGGAACACUGUGGGUUCGGUUCCCAUCCCUGUACA